rnacentral:antisense_RNA from 1 species
AAUUAUGGUAGGGGUUAUGGGAGUAUCGUAAGAUACGCUGUUACCUAGCGGACAGUACGCCAAUCCUGUAACCCCUACCAUCCUA